rnacentral:misc_RNA from 1 species
CUCCACCAAAGAAAAAGAUAAAUUUAGAAACCAGUGGGAAGAAAAAAUGUCAUCAGUUCGAUUGAAAUUGACGAUUCUGAUGAUGAUAAUAAGCCUUUAGGUCUGUCCAUCACGAUUGAUGAUAGUGACGAUGAUGUCGAGCUUGUAAGUGAAACAAAAGGCAACAGAUGUUUAAAGACCAAGGACGGGUCAACAAUAGAGGUGGUGCACAUGGAGAGCACAGGUGUACAGAAGAGGCCAAGGGUGGAGAGAGAUAUCCGAGUGAUGCCUGAAGUCGUGGAACUCAACAUCCAGAUGGAGGGUCCGCCCAAGAAGCCCAAGGCAGUUGAGAGUCCGGUGGUGCACCAGUCCAGCAGCUCUGCAGCGUUCAGUGCUCCGUCGACCUCAUUCGCCUCCCAGGACAGGUUCGUGUUGGUGGACCCGGCGACGCUGAGGCCAGACGAACUGCCGCCCGGCACAGUUCUUCUGCGCAGCGUACAACCGGUGGUCAACAUGCCUCAGCCGCAACAGCCAGUUCCUGCCAAUGUGCCUGUGCAAGAGCCGAGACCUAGUUCCAGUAAUGUAACUUAUUUUUCUUGCGAUGCCAACAGCAACUGGGGACACCCUGUAGUGCAGAUGCCGAACAUUCAGAUCUCUGUAAACACCGGCCCCGGUGCAGCUACUAUCUCCGCUCCCAGCACCUCCUCAAGAAACAUCUCAAGAAAACAUCAAGAUCGUUCAAAUAUAAUAGUGCUGGACGAGGAAGAGGAGGACGAUAUAAUUUUGAUCGACUGAACGUACAAGUUGCUAUUACACCACUUCAAAUUAGGAUCUCAGACGAUGGUCGCUACGAGGAGAUCUUGGUAUCUCAGAGCACUUGGGGUGUGCAGUCAUUAAAGAGAAAAGGUUCACCAUUACCAUCUCGCCCUAUGAAAAAACUUAAGUUAACUCAAACAUCAAGCAGCCUCGUGAAAUCUCCAG